GAUGAACGCUGGCGGCGUGCCUAACACAUGCAAGUCGAGCGGAUAGAUGGAGCUUUUGCCUGGAUUCAGCGGGGGGCGGGUGAGUGAUGCACACGAGUCUGCCUGCCCUUGGGGGAUGACGUCCGUACGCGAGCGCGGAUAUCACAUACGAUCAGAUCGUGAAACAGGGGGUUCUUUGGACCGCACCGGAUCUGAUGAGCCUAGGACGGAUUAGCUAGUUGGUUGGGUAAGUUCCUACCAAGGCGACGAUCCGUAGCUGGUCUGAGAGGAUGAUCAGUCACACUGGAACUGAGACACGGUCCAGACUCCUACGGGAGGCAGCAGUGGGGAAUCUUGGGCAAUGGGCGAAAGCCUGACGCAGCCAUGCCGCGUGUGUGAAGAAGGUCUUCGGAUCGUAAAGCACUUUUAGUUGGGAAGAACGGCUGUAAGUUGAAACGUGGCUGUCUUGACGGUACCGACUCAAUAAGCACCGGCUAACUACGUG
rnacentral:rRNA from 1 species